AUUCUGCACAGAGAAAUCCAUUAAUUUACCAGUUGUAACAAAUUACGGCAACAAAACGUAUUAUUUGGAUAUCAUCAAUAAAGUAAAUUGGUAUAAAGCGUACAGAAGUUGCAAAACAUACAAUAUGGAGUUAAUAAGUAUUGAUACUAAUGAAGAAUUAGAUUAUAUUGGUAAUUUUCUUUUAAAUUUCUCUCUUGAUUUGCGCACUACAUAUUUGUGGGCUUCUGGAAUGUCUUUGAAAAUGGAAGAAGAUUUUUUUUGGAUGAGCAAUGGUCGUAAAGUUAUAUCUAAUCGGUGGCACAAGGCUUCACGACUUAAUAAUACAGAAAGCUGCACAUAUUUAUUUUAUUAUCCAGAUAAAUAUGUACUUGACGACUUGGAUUGCAAUAAUAAAA